CGCCAGUCUGCGUGGAGCCAACCUUGAAAUACCACCCUUUAAUGUUUGAUGUUCUAACGUUGGCCCCUGACCGGGGUUGCGGACAGUGUCUGGGGGGUAGUUUGACUGGGGCGGUCUCCUCCCAAAGCGUAACGGAGGAGCACGAAGGUUAGCUAAUCCUGGUCGGACAUCAGGAGGUUAGUGCAAUGGCAUAAGCUAGCUUGACUGCGAGCGUGACGGCGCGAGCAGGUGCGAAAGCAGGUCAUAGUGAUCCGGUGGUUCUGAAUGGAAGGGCCAUCGCUCAACGGAUAAAAGGUACUCCGGGGAUAACAGGCUGAUACCGCCCAAGAGUUCAUAUCGACGGCGGUGUUUGGCCCCUCGAUGUCGGCUCAUCACAUCCUGGGGCUGAAGUAGGUCCCAAGGGUAUGGCUGUUCGCCAUUUAAAGUGG
rnacentral:rRNA from 1 species